GGCCAGACUCCUACGGGAGGCAGCAGUGGGGAAUAUUGCACAAUGGGGGAAACCCUGAUGCAGCAACGCCGCGUGAGUGAAGAAGUAUUUCGGUAUGUAAAGCUCUAUCAGCAGGGAAGAAGAUGACGGUACCUGAGUAAGAAGCCCCGGCUAACUACGUGCCAGCAGCCGCGGUAAUACGUAGGGGGCAAGCGUUAUCCGGAUUUACUGGGUGUAAAGGGAGCGUAGACGGCAGUGCAAGUCUGAAGUGAAAGCCCCGGGCUUAACCCGGGAAUUGCUUUGGAAACUGUACGGCUGGAGUGCUGGAGAGGUAAGCGGAAUUCCUAGUGUAGCGGUGAAAUGCGUAGAUAUUAGGAGGAACACCAGUGGCGAAGGCGGCUUACUGGACAGUAACUGACGUUGAGGCUCGAAAGCGUGGGGAGCAAACAGGAUUAGAUACCCUCGUACA
rnacentral:rRNA from 1 species